ensembl:lncRNA
CCACAAGGCGGCAGGAGCAUCCCCUCCCCCGGCUGUGCCACGGAAACGUCUGCGGAGAGAGCCCAGGGCCUGCACCCGACCGAGCCAGAGCCGCUGACAUGAGAAGGGGGGAAAGGCUGCCUCUCUCGGGUUUACCAGUCUUCUGAGCCGCGUGCAUCGGUUUAUUAAUUUGCCCCGGGAGGCCAGGACACACUGCUUCUCCCAGAUUCGCCUCCCGGCGCUAUUUUUCUAGGGCUAAUUAUUAACUAUCGGCUCUCAUUCUCUGAGUGUCUGUCAAAAAGAGGACAGCAUCCACCUUGAAGGGACUGUGUCUUAAUCACCUGCAUCGGCUAAUGGGCCAGCAAGGUGCUGGAGUCCUCCCGCCCCUCCGGACCUCUCCCGAGAGGGGCCGUCCGCGCUCCCUCUGUGCCAGACGCCAGCGGGUGCCAGUUCCGGAAAUGCUGGUGCCCUUUACCACCUCUCAAUUUGACACUAAUAAGCCUGAUUCGGACUCUGCGUUUCAGAGCGGCAGCCGAAUGUGGUUGCCAGCAAGGGCAAGCAGCUGGUGCCAGCAGGCUUUUCCAGGCAAGGCAGGAGUGCUGUAUUUCCUCCACCUCCUCACUGCUCAGAGAUGGUCUUGGAGCUGAUCCACUUGGUUACCCGCAGACAGGAACGGAGUCAGCAGCAGCCAGGCCAGAUGGCCCUGCGUCCACUCCGGAACCAAGACUCUCCUCCGAGGAGCAGAGAGAGUGCAGUGUCAGCGUCACCCCUCCGGGGAAGCCUUCCUGGACAUGCUCUCCACUUCUGCUGCCCAUCAUUCUGUCCCAUUUGCCACCUCCUUGGUCCAAGUCAUCAUCACAUGCUGACUAUAGCAUGAUCCAAGAUGGUUGCAGAAGCUCCAGCUAUCACAGUUGCACUCCAGGGAGGAGAUGAGAUAUAAAAAAGCCUUCUACCAGAUGACUAGUCCGCAGAGGCUUUCAGAGGACUAUCAGACUUUGCUCUUCUUGCAUCUCAUGUCCAAUCAUAGCGGCAGCAGAGGGCGACACAAUCACAUCAACUGAAACAGACCCAGGACCUACUUACUGUAGAGGGUAGUGGUUAGACGGGCAGAUAGCACGCUCUGCCCUGCUUACUGCUGUUUCCUGCUCUGUUAACAGCCUGCACACUAACAGUGUCCCUCACGGUCCACUCUCCAAACAGCCAGGCCUCCAGCCUGAACAGCCUUGGGGUCUGCGAUCCCUGAGGUCGGCCAGAACGCCUCGUGGCUCAGCCCUGCUGCCCUGCGUCUCCCCAGGUCCCCCCUUUAUCUGCAGUGAGGAUGCUCCCAAAGCUCCUCAGAGGCCUUGGCUGGGCGGAGCCCUUCCACCCUCU